rnacentral:rRNA from 1 species
GACGAACGCUGGCGGCGUGCUUAACACAUGCAAGUCGAACGGAAAGGCCCUGCUUUUGUGGGGUGCUCGAGUGGCGAACGGGUGAGUAACACGUGAGUAACCUGCCCUUGACUUUGGGAUAACUUCAGGAAACUGGGGCUAAUACCGGAUAGGAGCUCCUGCUGCAUGGUGGGGGUUGGAAAGUUUUGGCGGUUGGGGAUGGACUCGCGGCUUAUCAGCUUGUUGGUGGGGUAGUGGCUUACCAAGGCUUUGACGGGUAGCCGGCCUGAGAGGGUGACCGGCCACAUUGGGACUGAGAUACGGCCCAGACUCCUACGGGAGGCAGCAGUGGGGAAUAUUGCACAAUGGGCGGAAGCCUGAUGCAGCAACGCCGCGUGCGGGAUGACGGCCUUCGGGUUGUAAACCGCUUUCGCCUGUGACGAAGCGUGAGUGACGGUAAUGGGUAAAGAAGCACCGGCUAACUACGUGCCAGCAGCCGCGGUGAUACGUAGGGUGCGAGCGUUGUCCGGAUUUAUUGGGCGUAAAGGGCUCGUAGGUGGUUGAUCGCGUCGGAAGUGUAAUCUUGGGGCUUAACCCUGAGCGUGCUUUCGAUACGGGUUGACUUGAGGAAGGUAGGGGAGAAUGGAAUUCCUGGUGGAGCGGUGGAAUGCGCAGAUAUCAGGAGGAACACCAGUGGCGAAGGCGGUUCUCUGGGCCUUUCCUGACGCUGAGGAGCGAAAGCGUGGGGAGCGAACAGGCUUAGAUACCCUGGUAGUCCACGCUGUAAACGGUGGGUACUAGGUGUGGGGUCCAUUCCACGGGUUCCGUGCCGUAGCUAACGCUUUAAGUACCCCGCCUGGGGAGUACGGCCGCAAGGCUAAAACUCAAAGGAAUUGACGGGGCCCCGCACAAGCGGCGGAGCAUGCGGAUUAAUUCGAUGCAACGCGUAGAACCUUACCUGGGUUUGACAUGGAUCGGGAGCGCUCAGAGAUGGGUGUGCCUCUUUUGGGGUCGGUUCACAGGUGGUGCAUGGCUGUCGUCAGCUCGUGUCGUGAGAUGUUGGGUUAAGUCCCGCAACGAGCGCAACCCUUGUUCACUGUUGCCAGCACGUUAUGGUGGGGACUCAGUGGAGACCGCCGGGGUCAACUCGGAGGAAGGUGGGGAUGACGUCAAGUCAUCAUGCCCCUUAUGUCCAGGGCUUCACGCAUGCUACAAUGGCUGGUACAGAGAGUGGCGAGCCUGUGAGGGUGAGCGAAUCUCGGAAAGCCGGUCUCAGUUCGGAUUGGGGUCUGCAACUCGACCUCAUGAAGUCGGAGUCGCUAGUAAUCGCAGAUCAGCAACGCUGCGGUGAAUACGUUCCCGGG